CUUGGUCAUUUAGAGGAAGUAAAAGUCGUAACAAGGUUUCCGUAGGUGAACCUGCGGAAGGAUCAUUAGUGAAUUUUGAGCACUGCUUUGCAGGCUCGACCUCCACUCUCCACUCUGUGCAUCAUUCACCUGGGACGACGGCUUUCGAGCUAGAGACCCAGGUAUACCUUUACAAACAUGAGUUAAUGAACGUAAACAAAACCAUAACAAAAAAAAACUUUCAACAACGGAUCUCUUGGCUCUCGCAUCGAUGAAGAACGCAGCGAAAUGUGAUAAGUAAUGUGAAUUGCAGAAUUCAGUGAAUCAUCGAAUCUUUGAACGCACCUUGCGCUCUCUGGUAUUCCGGAGAGCAUGCCUGUUUGAGUGUCAUGAACUCUUCAACCCACCGGUUCCUUGUUGGACCGAGCUGGUGUUUGGAUUUUGAUUGCUGCAAGCCUUUGAGCUUGCUCGAUCGUAAUAUAUUAGCCCUCUCAAUUUCGAACUUCGGAUUGACUCAGCGUAAUAGACUAUUCGCUGAAGACACCCUUUGGGUGGCCGACAAGUAGAUAACAGUUAGAGGCUUCCAAUCCUUCUAGUCAAAUCUCUUAGAUUAGACCUCAGAUCAGGCAGGAUUACCCGCUGAACUUAAGCAUAUCAAUAAGCGGAGGAAAAGAAACUAACAAGGAUUCCCCUAGUAACGGCGAGUGAAGCGGNAAGAGCUCAAAUUUGUAAUCUGGUACNUUCGGUGCCCGAGUNGUAAUCUCGAGAAGUGUUUUCCGCGCCGGACCGCAUACAAGUCUGUUGGAAUACAGCGUCAUAGUGGUGAGAACCCCGUAACUGAUGCGGAUGCCCGGUGCUUUGUGAUACACUUUCGAAGAGUCGAGUUGUUUGGGAAUGCAGCUCAAAUUGGGUGGUAAAUUCCAUCUAAAGCUAAAUAUUGGCGAGAGACCGAUAGCGAACAAGUACCGUGAGGGAAAGAUGAAAAGCACUUUGGAAAGAGAGUUAACAGUACGUGAAAUUGUUGGAAGGGAAACGCUUGAAGUCAGACUUGCUAUUUGGAGUUCAGCCGCAAGGUGUAUUCUUCAAUUUGCAGGCCAGCAUCAGUUUUUGGGGGUGGAAAAGGACUUGAGGAAGGUAGCAGUCUCGGCUGUGUUAUAGCCUCUUGUUGGAUUCAUCCUUGGGGACUGAGGAACGCAGCACGCCGCAAGGCAUUCCUCUCGGGGUUUUCGUGCUUAGGAUGCUGGUGGAAUGGCUUUAAACGACCCGUCUUGAAACACGGACC
rnacentral:rRNA from 1 species